AGUCACUGACAUUAGAUACCCCUGUAGUCCAGGGUGUAAACGCUGCAGACUUGGUGUUGGGAACCCUUCGGGGGUGCUCAGUGCCGGAGAGAAGUUGUUAAGUCUGCUACUUGGGGAGUACGUCCGCAAGGAUGAAACUUAAAGGAAUUGGCGGGGGAGCACCGCAACGGGAGGAGCGUGCGGUUUAAUUGGAUUCAACGCCGAAAAACUCACCAGCAGCGACUGUUACAUGAAAGUCAGGUUGAUGACCUUACUAGAUUUUCAG
rnacentral:rRNA from 1 species